rnacentral:rRNA from 1 species
GACGAACGCUGGCGGCGUGCCUAAUACAUGCAAGUCGAACGGUCUUUUCUAUGGAAGCUUGCUUCCACUGAGAAGAUAGUGGCGAACGGGUGAGUAACACGUGGGUAACCUGCCCAUAAGAGGGGGAUAACAUCCGGAAACGGGUGCUAAUACCGCAUAGUUUUCUUGAUCGCAUGAUCGAGAAAGGAAAGACGGCCUUUGUGCUGUCGCUUAUGGAUGGACCCGCGGCGUAUUAGCUAGUUGGGGAGGUAACGGCUCACCAAGACGAUGAUACGUAGCCGAACUGAGAGGGUGAUCGGCAACAUUGGGACGGAGACACGGCCCAAACUCCUACGGGAGGCAGCAGUAGGGAAUCUUCCGCAAUGGACGAAAGUCUGACGGAGCAACGCCGCGUGAGUGAAGAAGGUUUUCGGAUCGUAAAACUCUGUUGUCAGAGAAGAACAAGUCGGAGAGUAACUGCUCCGGCCUUGACGGUAUCUGACCAGAAAGCCACGGCUAACUACGUGCCAGCAGCCGCCGUAAUAC